rnacentral:lncRNA from 1 species
GGUAAUUUUUUUAAGCCAGUGAAUCACCUUUGCUUAUAAUUUCAUUCCUCUCUUUUGUUGAAUAUUUGUUUUUCUCAUCCAUAUUAUCUCUCUAUAUUCUUCGGAAUACAUUCAACAUCUAUGCAUAAAAAAACAACAAACUGUAUUAAAACUAGAACAAGUCAAAAGCUUCUUCAAUAUCUUUAUCAAUUUUUCUUCAAACCGACUUAACAAAAUAAAAAAAAAACCUAUAUACAAACAAAUUAAUGAAGAAGUAAAACUUUUGAGACAACUACUCGUUGCAUGCAAGUUCACGCUCUGAUAUCUACACGUUGCAAGAACUUGCGACUUUCUAAGGAAAACAAAAAUCUGUAAACGUUUCUAAGUCAAUACUUUGAAUUGUUGAAUUGAAGUGGAAAAUUUUGUUAAAAUUUAUAUAUUCCUGAUGAAUGUAUAUAUAUAUAUAUAUAUAUAUAUAUAUAUAUAUAUAUACGUUAUAGCCAGCCGAGAAAAAAAAA